AGCACUUGUUUGAGGUUUUUAAUAAAUCGAUAAACAAAGACUUAAAGACAUGUACAAAAAAUAAAUCCUCUUAUGCCACCUAGAACUCAUUAUUCAGUAUUAGUUUUGAUACAAAUAAAAAGAACAUU
ensembl:snoRNA